AUGGUUACCAAUAAGAUGACAGGUAGAAAUAUUCUUGAAGGGGUGGUCGUCUUGCAUGAAACGCUCCAUGAGAUCCACUCAAAAAAACUAGAUGGUGUGGUUUUUAAAGUGGAUUUUGAAAAAGCAUACGAUAAAGUUAAAUGGCCUUUCCUUCAACAGGCAUUGCGUAUGAAAGGAUUUGACAAGGCCUGGCGAGACCAGAUUGAGUCCUUUACGCAAAAAGGGAGUGUAGGGAUUAAAGUGAAUGAUGAUAUAGGUCACUAUUUCCAGACACACAAAGGACUAAGGCAAGGAGAUCCCAUGUCACCGAUUCUAUUCAACAUAGUGGUUGAUAUGUUAUCUAUUUUAAUAGGUCGAGCUAAGGAUGCGGGGCAGGUUUCUGGCUUGGUUCCGCACCUAGUUGAUGGUGGUAUAUCCAUUUUGCAGUAUGCUGAUGACACUAUCAUCUUUAUGGAGCAUGACUUGGCGAAAGUAAGAAACAUGAAGCUUGUGUUGUGCUUAUUUGAACAAUUGUCUGGACUCAAGAUUAACUUCCAUAAGAGCGAACUGUUUUGCUUUGGAAGAGCUACUGAGGACCAGGAGGGCGUAUAA
rnacentral:rRNA from 1 species